AAAAACCGACACAGGUGGAUGAGGAGAGAAUCCUAAGGCCGGCGGAAGAAGCAUUGUUAAGGAAUUCGGCAAAAUGACCCCGUAACUUCGGGAGAAGGGGUGCCUGCGAGAGCAGGCCGCAGAGAAUAGGCUCAAGCAACUGUUUAGCAAAAACACAGGUCUAUGCGAAACCGAAAGGUGAAGUAUAUGGGCUGACGCCUGCCCGGUGCUGGAAGGUUAAGAGGAGAGGUUAGCUUCGGCGAAGCUUUGAAUUUAAGCCCCAGUAAACGGCGGCCGUAACUAUAACGGUCCUAAGGUAGCGAAAUUCCUUGUCGGGUAAGUUCCGACCCGCACGAAAGGCGUAAUGAUUUGAGCACUGUCUCGACAAUGCAUCCGGUGAAAUUGAAGUACCAGUGAAGAUGCUGGUUACCCGCGCCAGGACGGAAAGACCCCAUGGAGCUUUACUCCAGUUUGAUACUGGGAUUCGGUACUGCAUGUACAGGAUAGGUGGGAGACGAAGAAGGAUGGACGCCAGUCUGUCCGGAGUCGCUGUUGGGAUACCACCCCUGUAGUACUGGGUUUCUAACCAGUUGCCAUGAACUGGCAAUGGGACAAUGUCAGGCGGGGAGUUUGACUGGGGCGGUCGCCUCCGAAAGGGUAUCGGAGGCGCUCAAAGGUUCCCUCAGAAUGGUUGGAAACCAUUUGAAGAGUGCAAAGGCAGAAGGGAGCUUGACUGCGACACCGACGGGUGGAGCAGGUACGAAAGUAGGACUUAGUGAUCCGGUGGUAUAAAGUGGGAUUGCCAUCGCUCAACGGAUAAAAGCUACCCUGGGAUAACAGGCUUAUCACUCCCAAGAGUUCACAUCGACGGAGUGGUUUGGCACCUCGAUGUCGGCUCAUCGCAUCCUGGGGCUGUAGCAGGUCCCAAGGGUUGGGCUGUUCGCCCAUUAAAGCGGUACGCGAGCUGGGUUCAGAACGUCGUGAGACAGUUCGGUCCCUAUCCGGCGCGGGCGGAGGAUAUUUGAGAGGAGCUGUCCUUAGUACGAGAGGACCGGGAUGGACGGACCACUGGUGUAUCUGUUGUCGACCAACGGCAUGGCAGAGUAGCCAAGUCUGGAAGGGAUAAACGCUGAAGGCAUCUAAGCGUGAAGCCCCCCUCAAGAUGAGAUAUCCCUCCUUCGGGAGUAAGACCACUUGAAGACUACAAGGUAGAUAGGGCAGAGGUGGAAGCAUGGCAACAUGUGGAGCUGACUGUUACUAAUAGGUCGAGGGCUUAAU
rnacentral:rRNA from 1 species